UACGUAGGGGGCUAGCGUUGUCCGGAAUCAUUGGGCGUAAAGAGCGUGUAGGCGGCUUGGUAAGUCCGCUGUGAAAGUCCAGGGCUCAACCCUGGAAAGCCAGUGGAAACUGUCAAGCUAGAGUCCGGAAGAGGCGAGUGGAACUCCUGGUGUAGCGGUGAAAUGCGCAGAUAUCAGGAGGAACACCGGUGGCGAAGGCGGGUCUCUGGGCCGAAACUGACGCUGAGGAGCGAAAGCGUGGGGAGCGAACAGG
rnacentral:rRNA from 1 species